rnacentral:tRNA from 1 species
GCAUUGGUGGUUCAGUGGUAGAAUUCUCAUUUGCCACGCUGGAGACCCCGGGUCCGAUUCCCGGCCAAUGCA